UACGUAGGCAGCAAGCGUUGUUCGGAAUUACUGGGCGUAAAGAGUGUGUAGGCGGUUUUCUAAGUUCGGUGUGAAAUCUCCCCGGCUUAACUGGGAGGGUGCGCCGGAAACUGGAGGACUGGAGUGCCGGAGAGGAUAGCGGAAUUCCUGGUGUAGCGGUGAAAUGCGUAGAUAUCAGGAGGAACACCUGCGGUGUAGACGGCUAUCUGGACGGUUACUGACGCUGAGACACGAAAGCGUGGGUAGCAAACAGG
rnacentral:rRNA from 1 species